rnacentral:rRNA from 1 species
UACGUAGGGUGCGAGCGUUAAUCGGAAUUACUGGGCGUAAAGCGUGCGCAGGCGGUCUGUUAAGACCGAUGUGAAAUCCCCGGGCUUAACCUGGGAACUGCAUUGGUGACUGGCGAGCUUUGAGUGUGGCAGAGGGAGGUAGAAUUCCACGUGUAGCAGUGAAAUGCGUAGAGAUGUGGAGGAAUACCGAUGGCGAAGGCAGCCUCCUGGGCCAACACUGACGCUCAUGCACGAAAGCGUGGGGAGCAAACAGG